rnacentral:rRNA from 1 species
CUCGUAGGUGGCCAACUAAGUCAGACGUGAAAUCCCUCGGCUUAACCGGGGAACUGCGUCUGAUACUGGAUGGCUUGAGUUUGGGAGAGGGACGCGGAAUUCCAGGUGUAGCGGUGAAAUGCGUAGAUAUCUGGAGGAACACCGGUGGCGAAGGCGGCGUCCUGGACCCAACACUGACACUGAGGAGCGAAAGCCAGGGAGCAAACG